AAGAAUCAUAUGUAAACAUGGCGGUUUCUGAAGCUCAUUUUGUGUGGAUCAACCUUUUCCCUAAUCAUUUAAAAAGAUGGCCAAUGUUGUGUCUGUGGCAAAGAUGAGAAUCCUGUUACCAAACAAGAUAGGAUGGGGAAAGUGGGAAAGCUAAAGAAAAUAAUGGUUGCGUCCCUGCUCAACCACAUGAUGACUGUUACAAAAGCAAUGCUGAAUGACCUACUAGACAGAAAACAAGGACCAAGCUGAAAAUCAUAUGAGCAUCACCAUUCACAGGCGGGAUUCAGUGACUGUGGAGAAAGUGAAAUAUAAACAUUCUCCUGGUGAUAGUAACAUAAGCCUGUGUUUAUAUUGGUAACAGGUCUUAUUUUCAAGAAUCAUGAUAGUAAUAAAUAACAUGUACCUGAACACUUAUAAUAGAUAUAUGAUACUGCACAGGAAAUGCAUAUUGCUCAAAUCAGUUACUGUGAAAAAUUU